AGUUGGGUGUGAGCGCGCCAUUGACUGGCAGAGACUGUUUCUGGGAAUACUGACUUCCUGUGUUCUUUGCAUUCCUCCGCGGAGAACUCUGAGUCUUGGGUUGUUUCCCUGUGUGAAAAAGGGAGACUGCAGUAACGGAAGGAAGAGAAGAGAAAAAUCAUAUUUAAGAGACUUUAGACAACAGAAAUUAAUAGUUAAAUAAUUAUUGAAUAGUUAAUAGUUUGAUAAAAAACCUAGUUAAUCGGUUUAUUUUAUUUUAUUUUUUUACAUUUGUUAAUUUCUCUUCAAAUGAGACCAGUCUUCUUAGUAAGCUAACAUAACACUUACUGAGAACACCUACGUGCUAGGUACUUCAGGGAAAAGGACUGAAACUCGCUUCACAGAAAACUUGGUUCUGACGGGGACCCUUCUGAGUCUGCUGCUAGAUCACACUGUUUCCCCCAGGCCUAGGACUUCUACAGAUGCUGUCGUGACUACCUGAGGUGCAGAAUCUCAGGGAAAAGAUGAAGCUGCAGUUCUCCAAGAGGAGACAGGCAGGAAGCAACCAUUGCAGCUGGAGCAACAGCUGAUCCAGACAGAGCAGCACCUGGACAAUCUGAUGGCCCAACUGGACCCCCUUUUUGAGUGUGUGACUACUUUGGCUGGAGCCCAGUAGGAGCUUCUGAACAUGCAGCUAUGAACCGUGAAGCUGCUACAAGAUAGCAAGCCAGAUAAGGGUAUGGUGGCUUCAGAACCAGAGACCAGCAUACCUUUUCCUGAGGACUUAUGUGUAAAGGAAGAUGAGGAGGAGGCUGCUGAUGGUCAGACCUGGGAGGAGCCCAUAAACUGGAGCACAGAGACAUGGAAACUAGCUACUUCCUGGCAGGUGGAGCAGGUACUAAGGAGAAGAUGCAGCAAGGCUGUGGAAAAGGGCUCCAGUCACAGCCCCAGCUGGGAAGGAGGGACAACAGCUGAGGGUUUAGUAAAACCUUUUUUUUUUUUUUUUUAACUUCUGUUAAUAGGGUACAAAGUUAAACAAAGUUUGUUCUUGAUUAAAAAAAAAGAAGGAAUAUCUAAUGUAUAAACAACUCCAACCUAGGUUUCCAAAACCUUGCAUUCAUUCACAUUUGUGCUUCUUUCUACACAACUGUCAUUUACAUUCCUAGUGCUUGUAUUUCACUAUGUAAAGUGGGAAUUUAAUCUUUAUAAAUGAGGCAUUUAUGUA